rnacentral:rRNA from 1 species
UGGGGAAUCUUAGACAAUGGGCGCAAGCCUGAUCUAGCCAUGCCGCGUGAGUGAUGAAGGCCUUAGGGUCGUAAAGCUCUUUCGCUGGGGAAGAUAAUGACGGUACCCAGUAAAGAAACCCCGGCUAACUCCGUGCCAGCAGCCGCGGUAAUACGGAGGGGGUUAGCGUUGUUCGGAAUUACUGGGCGUAAAGCGCGCGUAGGCGGAUCAGAAAGUAGGUGGUGAAAUCCCAGGGCUCAACCCUGGAAU